AUUGAACGCUGGCGGCAGGCCUAACACAUGCAAGUCGAGCGGAUGAAGGGAGCUUGCUCCUGGAUUCAGCGGCGGACGGGUGAGUAAUGCCUAGGAAUCUGCCUGGUAGUGGGGGAUAACGUCCGGAAACGGGCGCUAAUACCGCAUACGUCCUGAGGGAGAAAGUGGGGGAUCUUCGGACCUCACGCUAUCAGAUGAGCCUAGGUCGGAUUAGCUAGUUGGUGGGGUAAAGGCCUACCAAGGCGACGAUCCGUAACUGGUCUGAGAGGAUGAUCAGUCAAACUGGAACUGAGACACGGUCCAGACUCCUACGGGAGGCAGCAGUGGGGAAUAUUGGACAAUGGGCGAAAGCCUGAUCCAGCCAUGCCGCGUGGGUGAAGAAGGUCUUCGGAUUGUAAAGCACUUUAAGUUGGGAGGAGGGGCAGUAAGUUAAUACCUUGCUGUUUUGACGUUACCAACAGAAUAAGCACCGGCUAACUUCGUG
rnacentral:rRNA from 1 species